UCAGCCCAUCACACGUCUCCACAUGUCAGUCUUAUUGGGGGAUGUGCCGCGCUUUGAUUGUCUGAGCUCUACUGUUACAAGGGGGACGCGCAGGCUCGCCCGUAGAUGCCCACCAGCCACCGUGGGGCGGACCGCACCGAACCGUGACAACCUAUCGUGUGCCACUUCCCUUGAGUCUCAACGUUUCUAGCUCGCAAACAAGGAGAGUCCACAAUUGUUCCUGGCUAGUACUACACGCACCGCGCGCGCCUUUUGACCCAGGCACAGUGCGGUGUAGAGGAGCGGAGUAGCCGCGGGCGGUUGCUUGGGCUGCACUUGGCAGCAUGCAACCGCAUGCGAGGAAAAUUUGAUGUGCUGUGCACGGUGGAGGCGGUGAAUGACUGAGUAGCUAAGGUGGGGCACGGUGUAAACCAUACAGGCAACGGAAGAAAGUAAGGAUGGCGCGUGAGUGCUGUCUCUGGAACACUUCUGACACUCGCGGCGGGAAAGCGGGCUGCAAGUGUAGGUAGCUGGCCUGCACGCUAACGUACUGCCGGGCGUUUGAGUGCUGUCUCUGGGGUAUUGGUGACACUGGUGACGGGAAAGCGGGCUGCAAGCAUAGGCAGCUGGCCUGCACGCUAACGUACUGCCGGGCGUUUGAGUGCUCUCUCUGGGGUAUUGGUGACACUGGUGACGGGAAAGCGGGCUGCAAGUAUAGGCAGCUGGCCUGCAGACUAACGUACUGCCGGGCAUGUGAGUGCUGUCUCUUGAAUAUUGGUGGCGGGAAAGCGGGCUGCAAGCAUAGGCAGCUGGCCUGCACGCUAACGUACUGCCGGGCGUUUGAGUGCUGUCUCUGGGGUAUUGGUGACACUGGUGACGGGAAAGCGGGCUGCAAGCAUAGGCAGCUGGCCUGCAGACUAACGUACUGCCGGGCAUGUGAGUGCUGUCUCUUGAAUAUUGGUGGCGGGUAAGCGGGCUGCAAGCAUAGGCAGCUGGCCUGCACGCUAACGUACUGCCGGGCGUUUGAGUGCUGUCUCUGGGGUAUUGGUGACACUGGUGACGGGAAAGCGGGCUGCAAGCAUAGGCAGCUGGCCUGCACACUAAUGUACUGCCGGGCGUGUGAGUGCUGUCUCUGGGGUAUUGGUGACACUGAUGACGGGAAAGCGGGCUGUAAGCAUAGGCAGCUGGCCUGCAGACUGACAUACUGCCGGGCGUGUGGGUGAUGGGAUGUUUCUGACUCUGGCGGUGGUGGGACCCAACGCUCUUGGCGUGCUUCCUGGAAUGGUGGUACUGACAUCAAGCUGAAUCCUUUAUUGCAGCUACCGGUCAUACGUUAUACAGCGUACAGAAGUACGAUGACCUACUGAGCGUUCUCAUGCCGAGUGUGCCGAGCGUGCCGACAUGUCAUGUGCUGGACUGACCAAGUCUCUAGACACCAAACGUGCUGCCAGCAUAUCUAAUAUGAAAUCUAAUAGUAUCAGAAUGCAUGUUCUCGAGUUUGAACGCAAGCAGGUGACCUUCAGUUUGGAGCGACUCGCCUCUCACACCUCCCAAACCCCGCCGAAACGACCCCCAGAAGCACUACCUUCCAAAAAUGACCACCUCCGAUUCAGUUGAAACUCAGCAGGUGGCACCUACAUAGCAUAAGUAUCCUUAUCAUAUUGGUUUCCAGCCAGUAAAAACUAUCCGAACGGACUAUCCUUGAGACAUGUCA
rnacentral:lncRNA from 1 species